UCCCUCUUAGCUCAGUGGUAGAGCGCGUCACUAGUAUUCCGCAACAAAUACUUCACAGUCUAUGACGAGGUCAGUCGUUCAAGUCGGCUAGAGGGAA